rnacentral:snoRNA from 1 species
UCCCGUUUGCCAACACUCUGGUGCAAGACUUACUCCCUGUCGUGUUCCUAUUUUGGUGCAAACAAGAUUGACUUGCAAAUUACUCACCUUGGUAUUCUCUUACUCUGUGAAUACCAUGGUCCAUUUCAGAUGCACACAU